UGGUAUUCUGCAAAUGUCGAAACUACCAUUUAAAACUCAGACUUCUCCUUUCUGUGGCUGCUGAGACCUACUGUGGCUAUAACAAGCUUGUAACAUUUGACCACAGAGAUGAAAACACAGAGCUGAGCAGAAUGAAGGGAUGAAGACUGAAUGAAGAUCAUGAGCUGGUGGCGAGCUGAUGAUGAGAAGCUGAGAAGAUGAGCUGGUGGUUACAGACAUGACGAAUGUGGAAAACAAACGUGACUGGCCAAGCUGUCAAUCGGACUGUAUCAUCAUCAAAAUGAGAUGUCAGAUCACUUGCUCACGACAGCCUGCUUCACCUCCACAACUCCUUCAUCUACACCAAGCUUCAUCUACAAUGAGGUCUGUAGUGGCACUCAUGUUCAUCUGCAUGCUUUUACCCAAAGCUGCUGUUGGCCAACUGAGCUGCUAUUCCUGUGAUCCCACUAACUGCAAAACAUUUACUAAGCAGAUUUGUCCUGCUGAAGCGGAUUCCUGCCUCAGUGCAACAGCCACUGCCGGCACAAGUAAGUUUACUUUAAAGACUUGUGCACCAAAGCUGGUGUGUGACACGCCUCAGUUACAAGAAGUUUCUCUUGAAAAUGUGAAGUGUUGUCAGACGAACCUGUGUAACGGUGCUGAGAUCUUCACACAGAGUUUCCUCCUCAUGUUUGUCCCUCUGAUCUCCUCCCUGCUCUUCUUCUGAGCUCUGAUGAAAAAGCAGACAUAAACUUCACUGUAACGUCAUGUAUAACAUACGUUCUGUCAAUAAACUUUGUUAGCUCAUAA